GCCUCUGAUGAUGAUGAAAAAAUUACUUUCGUUCUUCUGAGAUUCUCUGUGCGGAAACCUAAUUUUGGAGACCUGAACUGAAGGGGC